rnacentral:rRNA from 1 species
GCCUCGGGGAGCUGUAAGCAAGCUUUGAUCCGGGGAUGUCCGAAUGGGGAAACCCGGCUGUCUUCAUCGACAGUCACUACUCACUGAAUUCAUAGGUGAGUGAGAGGCAGACCAGGGGAACUGAAACAUCUAAGUACCCUGAGGAAGAGAAAACAAUAGUGAUUCCGUCAGUAGCGGCGAGCGAACGCGGAUUAGCCCAAACCAAGGAGCUUGCUCCUUGGGGUUGUGGGACGUCUCACAUGGAGUUACAAAGGAACCGGUUAGAUGAAGAGGUCUGGAAAGGCCCGCCAGAGAAGGUAAAAGCCCUGUA